rnacentral:tRNA from 1 species
GGGCCUGUAGCUCAAUUGGUUAGAGCCGGCCGCUCAUAACGGUCUGGUUGCAGGUUCGAGUCCUGCCAGGCCCACCA